GAAAAGUUUAAUUUUAGCUUAUGGAUUUUCUUUCUUUUUUAAUUUUUACAUGUAAAUUUUAGUGUGGAUAUAUAAAAAUUUAAAUAAUUAAUUUUUUUAAUCGCAGUAUAAAAUUUUAAAUAUUAAAGUGAUUUAGAUUUAGAAAUAAAGGUAAAAGUUAACUAAAUUUGUGCCAGCAGUUGCGGUUAUACAAAUAGCUUUAGAAAAUUUUUUUAGAAAUAGUAAAAUAAAUAUUUUUUAAUUUUAAUUUAAAUUUUAAGGUGAAAUUUAAAUUUAAUAAAAAAUUAAUUUAAUAGUUUUGAAGCUAAUAAAUUUAAAUUAAAGACUAGGAUUAGAUACCCUAUUAUUUUAAACUUAAUUUAAAAUUCUAAAUUAGUAAAAGUUAUGUUCUCUAAAAUUAAAAAAUUUGGCGGUAUUUUAGUCUAUUCAGAGGAACCUGUUCUAUAAUUGAUAAUCCACGAUUUAUUGUACUUAUCUUAUAAGUUUAUAUAUCGUCGUAGUUUGAAUGUUUUAUAAGAAUUUUAAAUGUUCAAGAUUUAAUAUAAUAAAAUAAAUCAGAUCAAGGUGUAGCAUAUAGAUAAGAAGAAAUGGGUUACAAUUAAUUUAUUAUUGGAUAAAUUUAUUAAAUUGAAUUUUGAAAUUGGAUUUGAAAGUAAUUUAAUAUAAUUUUUUUAAAUGAUUUUAGCUCUAAAAUAUGUACAUAUUGCCCGUCGCUUUCAUUUUAAAAUGAGAUAAGUCGUAACAAAGUAGAUUUACUGGAAAGUGAAUCUAGAGG
rnacentral:ncRNA from 1 species